rnacentral:lncRNA from 1 species
GGAUGUCCGGUCUUACUGGGAGCCUGGUAGGAGGUCGGCCGACGACAGACUUCGAAUAGCACUGGAGAGACUCGCCUGCUGGAGGAGUAUGGGGGAUCCGAGGGCGAUCGGUCGUUGUAGAAAUUCAGCUGCUGGAGCCUGUCCGUUGUGAGAGCUCGUCCAGGAUCCAUCCGCUGUGGAAGCUCGGACGGAGUCCGAUUCUCAUGGGAGGCCGAAAGGAGGCCCCUUAUUGUUGGAGCUCAGUCGAAGAUCAGUUAUCGUAGGAGCUUAGAGUAACGACCUGGCCGGU